UACGAAGGGGGCAAGCGUUGUUCGGAAUUACUGGGCGUAAAGGGCGCGUAGGCGGCUUAUCAAGUCAGGCGUGAAAUUCCCGGGCUCAACCUGGGGGCUGCGCUCGAUACUGAUUGGCUUGAAUGCGGGAGAGGAUAGUGGAAUUCCCAGUGUAGAGGUGAAAUUCGUAGAUAUUGGGAAGAACACCGGUGGCGAAGGCGGCUAUCUGGCCCGUAAUUGACGCUGAGGCGCGAAAGCGUGGGGAGCAAACAGG
rnacentral:rRNA from 1 species